rfam:Oryza sativa Japonica Group DNA, chromosome 4, cultivar: Nipponbare, complete sequence.
AACCACACUAUCGAUGAAUGGAUUCACCCAUGAUAUGACGUGGUUGUUUUAUCUAGGAUGUGGACGUGGCAUCCUAUUAAUUUUGUGCGAUGGCUGGUAAUAGGAUGCCAUGUCCUCGUCCUAGGUGAAACAACCACGUCAUUUCACGGGUGAAUCCAUCCAUUGAUAGUGUGGUU